UACGUAGGGUGCGAGCGUUAAUCGGAAUUACUGGGCGUAAAGCGCGCGCAGGCGGUGAUGUAAGACAGUUGUGAAAUCCCCGGGCUCAACCUGGGAAUUGCAUCUGUGACUGCAUCGCUAGAGUACGGUAGAGGGGGAUGGAAUUCCGCGUGUAGCAGUGAAAUGCGUAGAUAUGCGGAGGAACACCGAUGGCGAAGGCGAUCCCCUGGGCCUGCACCGACGCUCAUGCACGAAAGUGUGGGGAGCAAACAGG
rnacentral:rRNA from 1 species